UUUUCCUGUGGUCAUGUAUGGAUGUGACAGUUGGACUGUGAAGAAGGCUGAGCGCCGAAGAAUUGAUUCUUUUGAACUGUGAUGUUGCAGAAGACUCUUGAGAGUCCCUUGGACUGCAAGGAUUAGCCUCUGCAUCUAUAAUGUGAAAUUCAUUAACACCCACAUCAGAGGAUUGGCUUGAAGGGUCAGGAUAAACAGAAGAACCUCAGGCUACUCUAAGCAGAAGGAAUGUAUGAUAAUGUGACCAAGCACUGACUGCAGGUUAUCAAGUGGCUCCAGCCAGAACAAUAGAAGACGCCAUGGAGUGAUGCUUUUGGGGAACUCAAAAAUGAAGCGUUGCGGAACUCAUCCUCCAAAACGAAAGAGGAUGUUCAAGAUGAGGGCUGUUUGCUUCUCAUCUAUGUUACUGAUAGCCACUCUGCAAAGAAGUAUCGUGAACCAGAGUGACUCUGAAACUCCAAUGUAAAGGUCAUCAGAUUCUUUUGGGCUGUUCUGCUCAGAACUGAGGCAAGAAUUAGCAAGGAAAAGCUUCUCUGAUCCACGCCAGUCAAGUACAGAUGUGAGAGUUGGACCAUAAAGAAGGCUGAGUGUCGAAGAAUUGAUGUUUUCAAACUGUGGUACUGGAGAAAACUCUUGAGAGUCCACUGGACAACAAGGAGAUCAAACCAGUCAAUCCUAAAGAAAAUCAACCCUAAAUAUUCUUUGGAAGCACUGUUGCUGAAGCUCGAAUACUUUGGGCGCCUGAUGUGAAGAGCUGACUCACUGGAAAAGAUCCUGAUGUUGGAAAAGAUUGAGAGCUUGAGGAGAAGGGGAUGACGGAGGAUGAGU
ensembl:lncRNA